GAUGAAGAACGUAGCGAAAUGCGAUAACUAAUGUGAAUUGCAGAAUUCCGUGAAUCAUCGAGUCUUUGAACGCACAUUGCGCCCCCUGGUAUUCCGGGGGGCAUGCCUGUCCGAGCGUCAUUGCUGCCCAUCAAGCACGGCUUGUGUGUUGGGUCCUCGUCCCCCCCGGGGGACGUGCCCGAAAGGCAGCGGCGGCACCGCGUCCGGUCCUCGAGCGUAUGGGGCUUUGUCACCCGCUCUGUAGGCCCGGCCGGCGCUGGCCGACGCGAAAGCAACCAUUUUUUCUCCAGGUUGACCUCGGAUCAGGUAGGGAUACCCGCUGAACUUAAGCAUAUCAAUAAGCGGAGGA
rnacentral:misc_RNA from 1 species